UUUGGUGGCGAUAGCGAAGAGGUCACACCCGUUCCCAUGCCGAACACGGAAGUUAAGCUCUUCAGCGCCGAUGGUAGUCGGGGGUUUCCCCC
rnacentral:rRNA from 3 species